AGCCCAAACCAGAAACUUGUUUCUGGGGUUGUGGAUAGAUCAUGAAAGAAGAGGUAUCUUAAUCGAAGAGGGCUGGAACGCCCUACCAUAGAAGGUAAUAGUCCUGUAGAUAAAAAGAGAAAACUUCAAGAUCUAAUCCAGAGUACCACGAGACACGUGAAACCUUGUGGGAAGCAGGGAGGACCACCUCCCAAGGCUAAAUACUACCUAGUGACCGAUAGUGAAGCAGUACCGUGA
rnacentral:rRNA from 1 species